AACGAACGCUGGCGGCAUGCCUAACACAUGCAAGUCGAACGAGACCUUCGGGUCUAGUGGCGCACGGGUGCGUAACGCGUGGGAACCUGCCCUUAGGUUCGGAAUAACUCCCCGAAAGGGGUGCUAAUACCGGAUCAUGUCUUCGGACCAAAGAUUUAUCGCCUUUGGAUGGGCCCGCGUUGGAUUAGCUAGUUGGUAGGGUAAAAGCCUACCAAGGCGACGAUCCAUAGCUGGUCUGAGAGGAUGAUCAGCCACACUGGGACUGAGACACGGCCCAGAAUCCUACGGGAGGCAGGAGUGGGGAAUAUUGGAAAGUGGGCGAAAGCCUGAUCCAGCUAUGCCGGGUGAGUGAUGAAGGCCUUAGGGUUGUAAAGCUCUUUUACCCGGGAUGAUAAUGACAGUACCGGGAGAAUAAGCACCGGCUAACUCCGUG
rnacentral:rRNA from 1 species